GACGAACGCUGGCGGCGUGCCUAAUACAUGCAAGUCGAGCGGACGGAUGGGAGCUUGCUCCCAGACCGUCAGCGGCGGACGGGUGAGUAACACGUGGGCAACCUGCCUGUAAGACUGGGAUAACUCCGGGAAACCGGGGCUAAUACCGGAUAACUCUUUCCCUCACAUGAGGGAAAGCUGAAAGAUGGCAUCUCGCUAUCACUUACAGAUGGGCCCGCGGCGCAUUAGCUAGUUGGUGAGGUAACGGCUCACCAAGGCGACGAUGCGUAGCCGACCUGAGAGGGUGAUCGGCCACACUGGGACUGAGGCACAGCCCAGACUCCUACGGGAGGCAGCAGUAGGGAAUCUUCCGCAAUGGACGAAAGUCUGACGGAGCAACGCCGCGUGAGUGAUGAAGGUUUUCGGAUCGUAAAACUCUGUUGUCAGGGAAGAACAAGUACCGGAGUAACUGCCGGUACCUUGACGGUACCUGACCAGAAAGCCACGGCUAACUACGUG
rnacentral:rRNA from 1 species